rnacentral:rRNA from 1 species
GACGAACGCUGGCGGCGUGCUUAACACAUGCAAGUCGUACGGUAAGGCCCUUUCGGGGGUCUCCGAGUGGCGAACGGGUGAGUAACACGUGAGUAACCUGCCCACAACUUUGGGAUAACGCUAGGAAACUGGUGCUAAUACUGGAUAUGUGCCCCUGCUGCUUCGUGGGGGUUGGAAAGCUCCGGCGGUUGUGGAUGGACUAGUGGCCUAUUAGCUUGUUGGUGGGGUAGUGGCCUACCAAGGCGGCGACGGGUAGCCGGCCGGGGAGGGUGACCGGCCACAUUGGGACGGAGAUACGGCCCAGACGCCUACGGGAGGCAGCAGUGGGGAAUAUUGCACAAUGGGCGCAAGCCUGAUGCAGCAACGCCGCGUGCGGGAUGACGGCCUUCGGGUUGUAAACCGCUUUCAGCAGGGACGAAGCUUUUUGUGACGGUACCUGCAGAAGAAGCACCGGCUAACUACGUG